AGAGUUUGAUCAUGGCUCAGGAUGAACGCUGGCGGCGUGCUUAACACAUGCAAGUCGAACGGGGCUGUAUAACGGAAGUUUUCGGAUGGAGGAUAUGCAGCUUAGUGGCGGACGGGUGAGUAACGCGUGGGUAACCUGCCAUAUACAGGGGGAUAACACUUAGAAAUAGGUGCUAAAACCGCAUAAGCGCACAGCAUCGCAUGAUGCAGUGUGAAAAGCUCCGGUGGUAUAUGAUGGACCCGCGUCUGAUUAGCUGGUUGGCGGGGUAAGGGCCCACCAAGGCGACGAUCAGUAGCCGGCCUGAGAGGGUGAACGGCCACAUUGGGACUGAGACACGGCCCAAACUCCUACGGGAGGCAGCAGUGGGGAAUAUUGCACAAUGGGGGAAACCCUGAUGCAGCGACGCCGCGUGAGUGAAGAAGUAAUUCGUUAUGUAAAGCUCUAUCAGCAAGGAAGAAAAGAGACGGUACUUGAGUAAGAAGCCCCGGCUAACUACGUGCCAGCAGCCGCGGUAAUACGUAGGGGGCAAGCGUUAUCCGGAUUUACUGGGUGUAAAGGGAGCGUAGACGGCAAGGCAAGUCUGGAGUGAAAUUCCGGGGCUCAACCGCGGAACUGCCUUGGAAACUGUCUGGCUGGAGUGCAGGAGAGGUAAGUGGAAUUCCUAGUGUAGCGGUGAAAUGCGUAGAUAUUAGGAGGAACACCAGUGGCGAAGGCGGCUUACUGGACUGUAACUGACGUUGAGGCUCGAAAGCGUGGGGAGCAAACAGGAUUAGAUACCCCUGGUAGUCCACGCCGUAAAC
rnacentral:rRNA from 1 species